UUACCAAAUAACCGAAUAAUAGCAAUAAAAUUUGCUUCUACCAAUUUAUUAUUAAACCUUAUUAUGUCUUUUCCACAGAUCAUUUGCCAGGCGAACAUUACCGACACGUUUUCUGUUUAUACUUCACCGCAGAACUGAACCACUUGGUAUCAAACUCUGAGGGAUAAACUUACUGCAAUAAAGCUUCUCGCAGUAGAAACUUAAAUUCUAUCUGAUCUCUAAAAUCUUAACUGUGGAUCUUGGCUGACAGAUGUAUGUUCACGUUAUCGUAGCUCAAGUAGAGCUUGAUCUACUGCUCAUCUCAUGGUUGCAUCUCAUCGCGUACGCUGAAUUUUACUUAAUUAGCACUCUGUUUCAAGGCACUACUCUAUCCAGGUGGUCUGCUUUAAUUAACGGAAACUUGUAGGAACAGUCUACGGAGGAAUACAUUCAGCUGGUUGCUAUUUUACAUACUUUUCUAUCGUCUUUGAAGAGACUAUUGAGCCUGUUUUCUACUAUUUUGUGAAUCUUUUGUGAAGUUUUUUCCUGACUAGACGUAUAUAUAAGUUGAAGAAAGGUGUUUUUAUACUAACAUUAUAGUAUUUUUUUAAAAUCAUAUUUAGCGAAUAUCAAGCCACAAAAA